UCCCCAACAUGAGCCUGACCCUGGUGCAC
rnacentral:piRNA from 1 species